ACGGAACAGUCCAUGGGACAUACUAGGUUUUGUACAAGAAAGAAAAUAAGAAUAUGUUUUCAUAUUUGUUAUACUUCAAAGCAGAGACUCUGGAUGGACAGGCGGAAAGCUGCAGCCACCACCUCCUAAAACUACCCUCAAGCAUGAUAAACAGGAGACAUUCGGAACUGAAGCAGCAACUGACAAGGCCAUGUGUCUCAGAUGCCACUUAAAGAUGGUGGUGCCUCCAUCAGCCUGGUUCCCUAAGUGACUCUGUGGAGCAGAGUGCCCUGGCUACCCGCACUGAAUAUGUGGUGUGCAUAAGAAAUAAAGACC